rnacentral:rRNA from 1 species
AAACCCGGUGGUAUACGAUGGAUCCGCGUCUGAUUAGCUUGUUGGCGGGGUAAAGGCCCACCAAGGCGACGAUCAGUAGCCGGCCUGAGAGGGUGAACGGCCACAUUGGGACUGAGACACGGCCCAAACUCCUACGGGAGGCAGCAG